UUUGUUUCAAAUAACAACUCUGUAUUUGUUAUUGAACUCUGAAGUCCUUUAUAUCUUUAACAUUGCUGGAUAGUGACAUUUGUUCUAUAUUAAAAUUUAAAAACAUGAUCUCUGAGGAAUUUUUUUCAAUCUGUUUAGGUGCCUGCACCCCCAUGCAAUUUAACCUCAGUUCCAGCAUAUUCAAACAUGAUCUGUAGUGUGCAAAACCGUAUAGUUUUCUGAUAUUGGAACCCUCUUUAUUUUCACAAGCAGAUAAAGUUUUAAUGAAAAGCAGUUUUAGAAAGUGACCAUUAGUGAUUACCAGCAUACCUUUCCUCAGAAAUUAAACCAAAUAUUGGUCAAUAAAAAUAAACAGAUGUAAGUGGUACUGCUAAUUUGUUGCAUCCAUACUACCGAAGGGCCCUAGCCAAAGCCUACUGAAAUGAAUAGACAGACACCCAAUGAUUUCUUUGGCCUUGUAUCAGGACCUAAGAGCAUUCAUUGUUCUCAUUCAUUUUAUAUUCACAUUUAUUUUUCUCCAAAGUUCAUCUGUUUUCUGGGACAAUUAGAAAGUGUUGUUUUGGUGGACUUGGACCAACACUGGUGUUACUGGUCUGAUAGCUGAACAUAGUGUAAUUAGAACAUUUUGAACCUUUAUACAUUAAAAUUGCCAUGGACAAAUGUAGCAUAUUGUACCCUAUGCACAAUAUAAUGCUUCCAACUAUUCUUUAUUCAGUGGAGCUGUGAGACAAAUUCAAAGAAAGGCAUCUCCAAUAGUUUUAAGGAUCUAACAAACUAUUUUAAGGAACACCACAGACUCCCAGCCAUUUAUCGUCUGUGUCCACAAAAAACUUUAAAAGGGGCCUCUUUUUUCAAAAGCAAACUGUAUAGAUAAUCCUCUCCUCCCAGCAAUCAUGCCCAGAUUAUGUUCUAUGUGGCUCCCACUCAGGAAAGAAUAACAAGAAUCAGGCAUCAAGUAUAUCCAGGUUUAUGGAACUCCAUCUUGCACUCAACCUCAGCCCCUUCACCAUUGAUCUCCAAUUGUUUUUCAUCGCUCUUUCACUCUCUUUCUCUCUGUCUCUGUCUCACUCUCUCUCUGCCAUUUGUUCUUUGCAGGUUAGGUGACUCUUCCCCAUCACAUUUCUAGGGGGCAGGGUUUGUUUGGCAAAGGUCUGUGUAAAACAUUGAACAGACUCUAUUCAGGGGUCUCAUUGAGAUCAGGUCUUUUUGUUUCUACAGGUAAAAAACAAAUAACUAACAAUCUCUCUUAGUUCCUGUUAAAAUGAUUUUAAAAAUAUGAAGAACUCUAGCAUGUUAGUCUUUUAUAUGGGUAGAACUUUGCAGUAAAGAUAGUAGGUAAGAGAAGGGACUUGGAUACCUAGUUCCCAUUAGGGAUUGCAUGUCCAGAUACCUAUGGAACUUUGCAUAUCUGAGCUUAGAGGUUUUGGUACAGUGUAGGUUGAGGAAUUCUGUUUAAAUGGAAGAAAGGCUCUAUAAGAAUUCUAAAACAUACAGUUUGUUAGCUUCUUUUCAAGGGCUAAAAAAAAAAGUGAGCAUAGUCUCAGUUAGCACUAAAAAGUGAUCUAUGUUACAAACUGUAAGUUAGCAGAAUUUGGCAUGAUUGGCAGGCUGAAAUGAAGAUAAUGUAUAUGCUACCAAAGACUCUGGAUGCUGAGGCUGAAAUAAUUGUCACUAGAGGUCAAGUUUGAGGUCAUUGACAUGGCAGUGUCAACAUGCUUGCAUCACAGAUCUACAAUAAUAAAGUACUUAGAGUUUAUAAUAGUUUGCAGUUGCUACCCGUAUCAUAAGAUUCAGAAUGAUCAGUAUUCACCCAUAUUAGCUUAUAAAAAUAAAGCUGUUUCCAAAAUUUUGUUAAGAAUAUAUUUCUUCCUAUAGUGUUAAGGUAUUGUUUCAGUUGGAUUUGUUUCUCUGGUUUCUUUUUGGGGUGAUUCUAUUAUUUUGUAUAAUUGUUUCUUAAAAAAUGAAUGAAUCAGAGGCUGUAUGUGAAAGCAGAAAAAGUAUUUUUGAUAGGAUCUGCAGAACUUUUUUUCUCCCAAUAGCUGUGAUGGAAAUUUUACUUCUCUGUACUUUUUUAUACUCUUUUUACAGAUAAUUAAAGCAAAUGUACUUAUAUCAAA